rnacentral:lncRNA from 1 species
GACAAGAACUUUUAUUUCUUCUUAAUGACAUUAAACACAACUGCUACAGGGGAAAAACAUGAUACACAGGAGGCACCAAACUUCAGUUUCAUAAUUGAUCCUGACAACAACCGAAGUAAACUGGGGUCGAAUUAGAUGCAAAACUACAGGUUAUUUCAGGCUCUUUUAGUUACAAGUGAACUAUGUAAACAGCACAAGUCUACUCUGCACUGUUAAGACCCCUGUGGUGAGAAUGUCAUCACAGAUGAAGAAAGCUUGGUAGGCAGUUCAGUGCACAGAGCCCUUACUCAAAUAAAACAAUAUGGCAAGAAUUCUACACAAAAAUUAGAUUUAAGAGGCCAACACCAAAUAUGAGAUACGUAGCGUUUAAAAACAAAUUCAAACGCCAGAUUCUAAGCACUACCAUCUUUA